rnacentral:rRNA from 1 species
UUUAAGGUCUAAUCUGCCCUAUGAGGAAUUAAAUGGCCGCGGUAUUUUGACCGUGCAAAGGUAGCAUAAUAAUUAGUUUUUUAAUUGAAAGCUAGAAUGAAUGAUUGGACGAGAAAAUAGCUGUCUCAAUUUAAUUUUAUUAGAAUUUUAUUUUUAAGUAAGAAAGCUUAAAUUAAGUUAAAAGACGAGAAGACCCUAUAGAGUUUUAUAAUUAAUUGAUUAUUAAUUUUUUAGAAUUAUUUUAUUAUUAUUUAAUUGGUUAUUUUAUUGGGGCGAUGGAAAAAUAUGAAUAACUUUUUUUUAAAAAAAAUUAUCAUUAAUUUAUGAUUUUUUGAUCCAUUAUUUAUGAUUAUAAGAUUAAAUUACCUUAGGGAUAACAGCGUUAUUUUUUUUUAGAGUUCUUAUCGAAAAAAGAGAUUGCGACCUCGAUGUUGGAUUAAAAUUAAAACUUGGUGUAGAAGCUUAGUUAUUAGGUCUGUUCGACCUUUAAAAUUUUACAUGAUCUGAGUUUAAACCGGCGUGAGCCAGGUUGGUUUCUAUCUUUAAUUAAUUAAAGUAUUUUAGUACGAAAGGACCAGGUAUUUAUAAUAAUUAUUUAUUUUUGAAUUAUAUUAG